CUCAUUAAAUCAGUUAUAGUUUAUUUGAUGGUCUCUUUGUUCUUCUUUUUACCUACUUGGAUAACCGUGGUAAUUCUAGAGCUAAUACAUGCGCAAGGUCCCGAGCGCGGAGAGUAGGACUUCACGGCCCUGUCCUCGCAUGCGCAGAGGGAUGUAUUUAUUAGGUUAAAAACCAGCAGCCGGCAACGGCUUCAACUCCUGGUGAUUCAUAGUAACUCUUUCGGAUCGCAUUCAUG
rnacentral:rRNA from 1 species